UGUUACCUAUUCAAAAAUCAAAGCAGCCUCUGAAUACAGCUUUUAUAGAAGCCCCUUCUGAGAACUUUUAAGAUGAGCAUUAACCAUAGAGAGCCAUCAUUCCCUUAAUGGAGGAUUUCCCUGAGGUUUACAGACAUCUAGCAGUAUUACUUCACUUCUCUGCAUUGAAUCAGGCCCAAGGACAACCAUAUAAAUGAAGCUGAUGAAACAGAGUUCACGAAAAGGGGCAGUUACACACACUGGUCUUAAGAAACAGUGGAGCAGAUGCACAGGAGAAUGUUUGUGACAAAACAGG